rnacentral:rRNA from 1 species
GACGAAGGGGGCUAGCGUUGUUCGGAAUUACUGGGCGUAAAGCGCACGUAGGCGGCUUUGUAAGUUAGAGGUGAAAGCCCCGGGGCUCAACCCCGGAAUUGCCUUUAAGACUGCAUCGCUUGAAUCCGGGAGAGGUGAGUGGAAUUCCGAGUGUAGAGGUGAAAUUCGUAGAUAUUCGGAAGAACACCAGUGGCGAAGGCGGCUCACUGGACCGGCAUUGACGCUGAGGUGCGAAAGCGUGGGGAGCAAACAGG